AGCAGAAGGAUUCUAGUAGCUGUGGCGUUUUGAUAUUGAUGUUUGCAAAGCACUAUCUGCUGAACAUUCUGGUGACACUGGUGGAGACAUCUUCUGAAUUUAUUAAAAAAGCAAGGAUGGACAUAGCUAGUUCUCUUCUCCUGUAUUCCAUGGAGAAAAUAGGAACAAGAAUUUCCUGGACUUGAAGGAUGCUAUAUGUCCUCCACUUGGAUAAACCUUGUGAUCUUCUCUUUUCUUGUAACUUCCUUUUUUUUUGUUCCUCUCCUUUUCUUCCCCCUUUUCCUUUACUUUUGGCCUUGCCUCUCAUGUAAUAUUUUGUUUUAACAUUGUUUAAUGUGCAUUUUAUGUACC